UGCAAAUCUAUUGAGUCGCCAUUCGAGGGUGUAUUUGACAAGCAAAAGUAAUGGAAAAAGAAAACGAAGGGGUGAUAAAGUAGUUUAGGCGUUCAUUUGCAAAAUACAUAGUAUUCGGAAGGAACAGAUUUUCGAUGCGAGGACUGAUUCACUGCUAGAAGCGGAAUGGUGAGAUGGAACUUCGAGCAAAGGUCAGACUUGAUGGUUCUGUUUAUUUUAAUAACACUGACAACAACAUUCUGAUUGAAAUUAACACAGGUUGUGUUCAUUGUUAACGUUUAUGAAAAGUAUAUUCAAUAACAUGCUCCAUAUUUGUAUUUGUGCUGUUGUUUUUGUUUAGUUCCAACUAUUCUGAUACAUCAAUUGAUUCGACUAUUGGGUAAAAAUUAAACUAUUUAAGUUCAAAAAAACGUCGCAAAUGUAAUGUUUUUUUUAGGAUUAUAUAUAGGUAAGGCCACAUAGUGUGUCACUCCAGGUUGUAUUGAUAGUAGAGUUAGAUCACUCUCCCACAUGCUUUUACGAACACCUUGCUUUAUUUUUGUUGUUUUUAAGAUAUACCCCUUCUAUGGGUAUAUAUGUGUUACCAGUUUUUGUAUUAGUUCCAUACAUGUACGUAUGAUUCAACAAACGAUUUAUUACAAUUAACUGCCGUAUUUCCCUAUAAUUCACCAAGACCUUUGUGUGCGAUAUAUUACGUGGUAUGAUAAUGAGCGGAUUCAAAUUUAUGCGUACAUAUCUUUCAACUAUUCAGGUAUUCCAACAUAUGAAUUAAGAAUGCAACAUCAAAAAUGAAUAUAUUACGUAAAUUAGAUAUUCUAUUUAUAUAUGAAACAGUAAAAGAGACUUGUCUUGUAAACUUUUUCGAAACAUGUUUGUGUUUUGCAUAUAUUACAUCUCGUUCGCUUGAUAUUGAAAAAAACAGUUGAUAUAUUAUUGUUGAAUACAAUACAAAAUAAUAAUCUUUAAGUUUAAUUUAAACAUUCGAGUUAUUAUAUUUUUCAUUACAAGUUAAGACGUUUUUUUCCCUGCAAGGUUGGUGUCAAUAACGGUACAUGCAUAUGUGCUUAUUACCAUAUUUUGGAUAUGCUGUGGUAUAAAUUUGGUUUGAAAAGAGCGUUGACAGUAAGACGGUUGUUUUAAAACUAAGAUGAAAGGCAAUUAUCGGUUUUUGUUAAAUUUAGUUUCGUCAUAGUAAAAUGCACUUUUAAAUAUUAGGUACUGUAAUGAUAACAAAAGUAAACAUGAUUUUUUAGCAUUAUAAGUCAUUAGUUUUCGUGAAUAGUUUUUGUUCUUGUUUGGUGACCUGUUGGCUUGAUGUGUGAAGACAUUUUGCUUUUAUGGUAUUUGGCCGUUUUUUUAAUGCCAGUUAACAUGUGUAAUUUGCUUAUCGUUUGGUGAAAGCCAGUUGACCAGAUGUGGAUAACCCAGUUGGCGAGUGUAUUUUUUUAACCAAACUUGUUAAAACGUAUGUUUACAUUUACAUUUUUGUGUCUAUUAUAUUUUUUAAGAUUGUACUGGCCGAACGAUAUUCACUAUAUUGGAGAACAUUAAAUGUAUGUUAUUAAAGGCCAGAUUGGCUUAUGUGAAUUAACCGGUUGGCUCGUGUUGUCAGUUGACAGUUUGUUGAAGGCAGAUUUUUUCAGAUGCGUAUAAGCCAAUUAGCUUGCGUGUCAGUUCACCGAAAUUUCUCAAAACACAUGUUGAAAGUGCAUGUACAAAUGUUUGCAAAGUUUAUUUUUUUCAGUAGCUGGACAGUUCGAAGGAUAAAUAAUGAAUAGUGUAACAUUAAAGUAAGAGGGCAGCUCGAAAGGUAUGAUUUGUUUUUUGUGUAAUAAUGUAUUAGAAAAAAACUUGUCAAGAUUAAUAAUGAUGAUUUUAUUGAUGAUGUUAUUAAUGAUGAUGAUGAUGCUAAUGUUAUUGAUGAUGAGGAUGAGUAUUUUACAGUAUUUUGUGAAUAGAUAAUACUACAUUUACGAACUUUGAGUGAAUGAAAUUAUUAUAGGUUUGAUAAAUACGGAAUAGUGUUGGUUUAUACAUAUUAUUUAGAAGAGAAAGAGAGUACGGUUAUGGUUUAGCACAAAAAAUGAACGCGUUUCUCGUUUUUGAGUUUAAUUGAACAAAAACAAGUUACGGUUCAGCAACAGGGAUUAUUCUCAGAAGGUAAAGGUAUUCUUUUUAGAGUCACAGAAAUUAAACUUUGCAUCAAUACAGGUUUUCUUUGAGAUUUGUUUGCUUGGUUAAAAUUCAAUAAUUUGACGAGAUUUCCAGCCGACCGAGUACCUAUAGCUUUGUAUUUGAGUGUAUUAAGGAUUUUGCUAUUUUCAAAUUAGUUGAUCAAAAUUAAUAAAGUGUUCUAUUAUAUCUAUUGAGCUCAUGCUAUUUCCAUGGAAAUUUGAGCCAGGUUUCGAUCAGUAGCUUAAAGUAUGUCUGUGUUGGUGAAUUGAACAUAAAAACAAAUGUCAGGUCGUUAGUUUUAAUUUUAAGAGCAGAAAAUACGUAUUGAUUGUGAGAACAUUAGUAACUUGUGUUUGGUAUUUGUGUAUGUUUCUUGUGGUCAUUGGACCAAUUUGUUUAAGGCGAAUUGGCCUGAUUUGGAAAGCCAGUUGGCUUGUAUGGUCAGUUGACCGUUUUUUAAAGCCAGUCUAUCUGAUGUGUGAAAGCCAGUUGGCUUGUGUUGUCAGUUUACCGAAUUUUCUUAGAACAAAAGUCACAUAGAAUUAACAAUCUUUGCAAGUUUAUUGUUUGCAGUGCAGUAAUUGGACAUUUCAAAUAGUAUAUUAAGUAUUGAAGAACAUAAAUGUAUGGUUUAUGUAGUAUGUUAUUAUUAUCCCCCGCCAGAGGCGGAGGGAUAUUGUUUUGGCGUUGUCCGUCCGUCCGUCCGUCCGUACGUCCAUCCGUCCGUCCGGCACUUUUGUGUCCGGAGCCAUAUCUUGGAAGUGCUUUGGCGGAUUUCAUUGAAACUUCGUAUGAGUAUAUAUAUGCAUAAAAGGAUGAUGCACGCCAAAUGGCAUUGUACACCAUCUGUUAAAAACAGAGUGAUGGCCCUUUGUAUCUUGAAAAAAUGCUUUUUACUAUAGGCACUUUUGUGUCCGGAGCCAUAUCUUGAAAGUGCUUUGGCGGAUUUCAUUGAAACUUGGUAUGAGUAUAUAUAUGCAUAAGAGGAUGAUGCACGCCAAAUGGCAUUGUACACCAUCUGUUAAAAACAGAGUAAUGGCCCUUUGUAUCUUGAAAAAAUGCUUUUUACUAUAGGCACUUUUGUGUCCGGAGCCAUAUCUUGGAAGUGCAUUGGCGGAUUUCAUUGAAACUUGGUAUGAGUAUAUAUAUGCAUAAGAGGAUGAUGCAUGCCAAAUGGCAUUGUAUACCAUCUGUUAAAAACAGAGUUAUGGCCCUUUGUAUCUUGAAAAAAUGCUUUUUACUAUAGGCACUUUUGUGUCCGGAGCCAUAUCUUGGAAGUGCUUUGGCGGAUUUCAUUGAAACUUGGUAUGAGUAUAUAUCCCCCGCCAGAGGCGAGGGAUAUUGUUUUGGCGUUGGCCGGCUGUCCGUCCGGCUGUCAGUCCGGCUGUCCGUCCGUCACUUUUGUGUCCGGAGCCAUAUCUUGGAAGUGCUUUGGCGUGUUUCAUUGAAACUUCGUAUAAGUAUAUAUAUGCAUAGGAGGAGGAUUCACGCCAAAUAGCAUUGUACACCAUCUGUUAAAACCAGAGUAAUGGCCCUUUGUAUCUUGAAAAAAUGCUUUUUACUUUAGGCACUUUUGUGUCCGGAGCCAUAUCUUGGAAGUGCUUUGGCGGAUUUAAUUGAAACUUGGUAUGAGUAUAUAUCCCCCGCCAGAGGCCAGAGGCGGGGGGAUAUUGUUUUGGCGUUGUCCGGCUGUCCAUCCGUCCGUCAAUUUUGUGUCUGGAGCAAUAUCUUGGAAAUGCUUUGGCGGAUUUCAUUGAAACUUGGUCUUAGUUUUGAGUUAUUGUCCUCCGUCCGUCCAUCUGUCAGUAUGUUCAUCCGUCCGAUUUGCACCCAUUCUCAAACAAAGCAUAUGUUGCGGGGGAUAUCAAUUCUAUUAUUACCAGGAUUAUGAUAAUUAUGUUUUUAACCAGGUUUUCCGAAGGAAAAAACUGGUUAUUAGAUUGGCGAAUGCGGGCUGGCUGGCUGGCGGGCUGGCGGAACAAGCUUGUCCGGGCCAUAACUAUGUCGUUCAUUGUCAGAUUUUAAAAUCAUUUGGCACAUUUGUUCACCAUCAUUGGACGGUGUGUCGCGCGAAAUAAUUACGUCUAUAUCUCCAAGGUCAAGGUCACACUUUGAGUUCAAAGGUCAAAAAUGGCCAUAAAUGAGCUUGUCCGAGCCAUAACUAUGUCGUUCAUUGUCAGAUUUUAAAAUCAUUUGGCACAUUUGUUCACCAUCAUUGGACGGUGUGUCGCGCGAAAUAAUUACGUCGAUAUCUCCAAGGUCAAGGUCACACUUUGAGUUCAAAGGUAAAAAAUAGCCAUAAAUGAGCUUGUCUGGGCUAUAACUAUGUCAUUCAUUAUGAUAUUUUAAAAUCAUUUGGCACAUUUGUUCACCAUCAUGGGACGGUGUGUUGCACAAAAGAAUCACGUCAAUAUCUCCAAUGUCAAGGUCGCCACGACUAAAAAUAGAUUUAUUUUAAAACAAACUUACAAAGGGUGUUAAUUUUGUUUGUUCAUUUAAAAAGUUCAGUUUGAGUUGUCUCCCUUUAUCAGAUUUUUUUUCACAAUGAAAACCUGGUUUUGUGACAAUUUUGUCCCUUUGUUUAUUUUUGUUUUAAUAAUUAUCAUUAAUUUAAUAAAUAUUGUUUUUGUUUUUUCUGUUUUAUUCUAUUUUAUUAUCUUAGUGGGCAGUUGAUAGUUUGUUGAUUGCCAUAGGUGCCUGAUUAGUAUAAGCCGGUUGGCAUGUGUGGUCAGUUGACCGUUUGUGAAGGCCAGAGUAUGCCUUAUGUUGAUACGCCAGUUGGAUUGUGUUAGUUGACCGUACUUUCUUAGAACGCAUGUCCACAUGGAAUAAAUAAUCUUUGCAAGUUUAUUUUUUGCAGUGCAGUAACUGGACAGUUCGAAUGGUAUAUAAAGUAUUGGAGAACAUAAAGUGCAGUAACUGGACAGUUCGAAUGGUAUAUAAAGUAUUGGAGAACAUAAAGGUAUGGUUUAUGUAGUAUGUUAUUAUCAUUAUUAAGAUUAUGAUAAUGAUGUUUUUAAUUUUUGUUUUAAUAAUUAUCAUUAAUCUUGUAAAUAUUUUUUAUUAUAUCUGUUUUAUUCUCUUGUGUAUUAUCCGAGUGGUCAGUUGACCGUUUGUGAAGGCCAGAGUGUGCCUGUUGCUGAUUAGCCAGUUGGCUUGUGUGGUCAUUUGACCGUUAGUGAAGGCCAGAGUGUGCCAGAUGUUUAUUAGCCAGUUGGCUUGAGUGGUCAUUUGACCGUUGUUGAAGGCCAUAGUGGCUGAUUGUGGUUGGAUCAUAUAUUUGUAUUGCUUUUACAAAUGUUUGUAAUUAUAUCUUUUCAGUUAAAUGACAGUUCGAGAGGUAUUUAACAUGGUGGAGAAUAUUUAGGUAUUAAUUUUAUGUUAGAUAUUAUUUAUUAUAUGUAUUCUCUCUUUGUUUUAAUCGAAAGUCCUGUCAAAUACAAGCACUCACUCCUAUUGUCUUUGGGUAAUUAUUUGUAUGAUAAUGAUGUCGAAAGGAUGAUGUUAUUAUGGUUGAUAAUGAUGAUGAGUGUUAAUAAGUAUUUUGAGAAUAGAGAAUAAUAAAUUUACUCAUAACUAUGAGUAAAUGAAAUUAUACUCGGUUUGAUAAAUACGGUAUAGAAUGGUUGUAUACAUGUUAUUUAUAAGAGAUUAUGGUAAUGGUUUAGCGCGAAAAUUACACGGGCUUUGUAUUUAAGAUUCAGCGCGAAAGCGCACGAGUGUUUCGUGUUGGGGUAUAUAUGAUGUGCAAAUCUAUUGAGUCGCCAUUCGAGGGUGUAUUUGACAGGCAAAAGUAAUGGAAAAAGAAAACGAAAGGGUGUUAACCACGCCCGCCCGCCCUUAAUGGACAUGUGUAUGUCUAAAUAAUUGGUUACAUUAUUUUUACGUUUAUUUUGCAAUAAUAAAGUCGAUAUUAAGUUUAUUUUCAGUUCGGUUUUAGUCCAUGGGAGAUGGCAUCUAAACACGAACCGAUUUCUUUACAGAGAAAGUCGAUGGGUGUAUUUACAUUAAAGCCUGAAUCAGCUAAGUUUUCUUGAUUAUUUUGUUUCAUCUUUUAUUUCCUAUUGUGAUUUUAAUGUGGAAUUUUUAAGUUAUAUGUUUCAUAUUUGAGACUCUCACUUUCUGGAGAUAGUACUUCCUGCAUAUUUAUUGAAAUCUUGGUAUGUUUAAUUGUCAGUGUUAUCAUUUUUUUGUUUUCUUACGUAAGGAACGUUUAAUUUUAAAGGUAUUCUAUUUUUAACGAUUAAUUAAUUGUUUCGUUUUGUUGUGACUGGUUUCAUGUUGAAGUCGGUUUAAUGUAGCUGUUGAAAACAUUCGUCAUAUACAUAUAUAUAUAUAUUACUCGGAAUACAUAUGAUUUAUCAACAUUCUUUUUAAGUGUUUUAUGGAUUUCAUGGCUUGAGUGAUUUGUUUGUUUCUUGUUCAUGUCCGGGUGUGUACGGAAUGCUUUUGAUGUUUGUUUGUUAUGUUAAUUUGAGCAAUGAAAUUGAUAACGUAAUUUAUUUCAUGUUUUGUUAAAGAUUACUUAAUUUUUACAGUAUAAUAAUAGCUGCUUAUUUGUAGAUUUCUCUAAAAUUAGAGGUUUCGGGAGGUGAUGAAGGCAUCUAGACACCGGUCUUGAGCCAUGGGUCCUCGUACGUCCCCCUGCCAUUAAAAGAAAAAGAAAUAACAGAAAAAUGGCAGUAGGGUUGCGUAUCCCGCUCGCGGUUUUACCUGAAUCGUUUAUUACUACCGAUUAUUGUAUGGGGUGUACGUGAAGUCAUGUACACUUCUCUUGAUUGGUGGUGGUGGAUGAAUCUUGCGGAUAACAGCAGCUUAUUUAAGCAAAUUAAUGUUUCACAUUUGUAAAUGUAUAAUAUUUAAGCAACUUAACGUGAUUGAUGGGCAUAAGGGGCGUCCUGUGUGCACUUUGGGCAUCGGCGGGGAUCAGUUUAUUCAGACAGUAACUCUCGAUUUUAGGUAUAUACUUGCCGUCGAAUUGUUAUGAUUUUUGCACUUGUUAACAUGUCACACAUGUGCAUGUUAAGCAUUCAUAAUGACAUGACCUACAUCAUUUAAAUAGUAUCGUUUCAGUUCUUUACACAUCCGAACAAGGAUGUUACACCGUUUACAGUCGGCUCGAGACUCGUGAACUGAGCGGUGCCAUCGAGGUCGAUUUCCGUUUACGUUGCACAUGGAACACAUACGGGCGUCAGACGAAUUGUUUUUUGCAUUUAUAUGUCGAAAGUCCUGUCAAAUACAAGCACUCACUCCUA